rnacentral:rRNA from 1 species
AGAGUUUGAUCCUGGCUCAGAAUCAACGCUGGCGGCGUGCCUAACACAUGCAAGUCGAACGCGAAAGUCCCGCAAGGGAUAAGUAGAGUGGCAAACGGGUGAGUAACACGUGGGUGACCUGCCUUCGAGCGGGGGAUAACGUCCCGAAAGGGACGCUAAUACCGCAUGACAUCCUGCCUUUGAAGAGGUGGAGAUCAAAGCCGGGGAUCGCAAGACCUGGCACUCGAAGAGGGGCCCGCGCCUGAUUAGCUAGUUGGUGGGGUAAUGGCUCACCAAGGCGACGAUCAGUAGCCGGCCUGAGAGGGCGGACGGCCACACUGGGACUGAGACACGGCCCAGACUCCUACGGGAGGCAGCAGUGGGGAAUUGUUCGCAAUGGGCGCAAGCCUGACGACGCAACGCCGCGUGGAGGACGAAGACCUUCGGGUCGUAAACUCCUUUCGAUCGAGACGAAUGGCCUCCGGGUGAACAAUCCGGAGGAGUGACGGUACCGAGAGAAGAAGCCCCGGCUAACUCCGUGCCAGCAGCCGCGGUAAUACGGGGGGGGCAAGCGUUGUUCGGAAUUACUGGGCGUAAAGGGCUCGUAGGCGGCCAACUAAGUCGGACGUGAAAUCCCUCGGCUUAACCGGGGAACUGCGUCCGAUACUGGAUGGCUUGAGUUUGGGAGAGGGAUGCGGAAUUCCAGGUGUAGCGGUGAAAUGCGUAGAUAUCUGGAGGAACACCGGUGGCGAAGGCGGCAUCCUGGACCAAUACUGACGCUGAGGAGCGAAAGCCAGGGGAGCAAACGGGAUUAGAUACCC